GCACAAUGAUGAUGAAUUGAUCAUUGUCCGAUUAAAUUCAUGACAGGAUAUAUAUCCUCCUACUCAUUCUGA